AUGGUUUGAUCAUGGCUCAGAUUGAACGCUGGCGGUAUGCUUAACACAUGCAAGUCGAACGGAAGCGAUGGUAGCUUGCUACCAGGCGUCAAGUGGCGGACGGGUGAGUAACGCGUAGGAAUCUGCCCAGUAGUAGCUGCCCAGUAGUGGGGGACAACCAGGGGAAACCCUGGCUAAUACCGCAUACACUCUACGGAGAAAAGGAGGCCUCUUCUUGAAAGCUUUCGCUAUUGGAUGAGCCUGCGUGAGAUUAGCUAGUUGGUAGGGUAAAGGCCUACCAAGGCGACGAUCUCUAGCUGGUCUGAGAGGACGAUCAGCCACACUGGGACUGAGACACGGCCCAGACUCCUACGGGAGGCAGCAGUGGGGAAUAUUGGACAAUGGGCGCAAGCCUGAUCCAGCAAUACCGCGUGUGUGAAGAAGGCCCUAGGGUUGUAAAGCACUUUCAGCAGUGAAGAAAUGCUUAAGUGUUAUAACCUUGAGUCUUGACGUUAACUGCACAAGAAGCACCGGCUAACUCCGUGCCAGCAGCCGCGGUAAUACUGAGGGUGCAAGCGUUAAUCGGAAUUACUGGGCGUAAAGCGAGUGUAGGCGGCUGCGUAAGUCGGAUGUGAAAGCCCUGGGCUUAACCUGGGAAUUGCAUUCGAAACUGUGCAGCUAGAGUUUGGUAGAGGAAAGUGGAAUUCCGGGUGUAGCGGUGAAAUGCGUAGAUAUCCGGAGGAACAUCAGUGGCGAAGGCGGCUUACUGGACCAAAACUGACACUGAGGCUCGAAAGCGUGGGGAGCAAACAGGAUUAGAUACCCUGGUAGUCCACGCCCUAAACGAUGUCAACUAGCUGUUGGUCCUAUUAAAAGGAUUAGUGGCGAAGCUAACGCGUUAAGUUGACCGCCUGGGGAGUACGGCCGCAAGGUUAAAACUCAAAUGAAUUGACGGGGGCCCACACAAGCGGUGGAGCAUGUGGUUUAAUUCGACGCAACGCGAAGAACCUUACCACCCCUUGACAUCCUCAGAACUUGUUAGAAAUAACUUGGUGCCUUCGGGAUUUGAGUGACAGGUGCUGCAUGGCUGUCGUCAGCUCGUGUCGUGAGAUGUUGGGUUAAGUCCCGUAACGAGCGCAACCCUUGUCCUUAUUUGCCAGCACGUAAUGGUGGGAACUCUAAGGAGACUGCCGGUGACAAACCGGAGGAAGGUGGGGACGACGUCAAGUCAUCAUGGCCCUUACGGGGUGGGCUACACACGUGCUACAAUGGUCGGUACAGAGGGUUGCAAUGUCGCGAGGCGGAGCUAAUCUCAGAAAGCCGAUCGUAGUCCGGAUUGCAGUCUGCAACUCGACUGCAUGAAGUUGGAAUCGCGAUUACUCGCGAAUCAGAAUGUCGCGGUGAAUACGUUCCCGGGCCUUGUACGAAACCGCCCGUCACACCAUGGGAGUGGGUUGCUCCAGAAGUGGUUAGUCUAACCUUCGGGAGGACGAUCACCACGGUGUGAUUCAUGACUGGGGUGAAGUCGUAACAAGGUAACC
rnacentral:rRNA from 1 species